rnacentral:rRNA from 1 species
AUACGGAGGGUGCAAGCGUUACUCGGAAUCACUGGGCGUAAAGGACGCGUAGGCGGGUUGUCAAGUCUGAUGUGAAAUCCUAUGGCUCAACCAUAGAACUGCAUUGGAAACUGGCAACCUAGAGUAUGGGAGGGGGAGAUGGAAUUAGUGGUGUAGGGGUAAAAUCCGUAGAUAUCACUAGGAAUACCGAAAGCGAAGGCGAUCUCCUGGAACAUAACUGACGCUAAGGCGUGAAAGCGUGGGGAGCAAACGGGAUUAGAAACCCGAGUAGUCC